ACAGUGGACGCGAGCAUCUGUGGCCAAGUUUUUAAGGGCGCACGGUGGAUGCCUUGGCACCAGGAACCG
rnacentral:rRNA from 1 species